rnacentral:rRNA from 1 species
UAGGCUGCAACUCGCCUACAUGAAGUCGGAGUUGCUAGCAAUCGCGGAUCAGAAUGCCGCGGUGAAUGCGUUCCCGGGUCUUGUACACACCGCCCGUCACACCAUGGAAGUUGGGGGCGCCCGAAGUUGCCUAAGAAAUAAGGUACCUAAGGCGAAACCAAUGACUGGGGUGAAGUCGUAACAAGGUACC